rnacentral:piRNA from 1 species
UGGGAAUGUACAUAGCCAAUGGC